CUCAACUUGUCAUCCUAUUUUUGCGCGUGCGCUCUCCGACCACAGCCACCACAUCAUUCAGCAAAAGCUACGCACAAUACCAGCCGCGAGGACAGCCUGCUUCUCCUUCAUGUACAUGAGUGACGUGUGUCUGUUAGCAUGAGCAUGUGAGGUCUGAACAGGAAGCUGUGCUCACCGCUGCUUCCGGCCGCCCAGCUCACUGUCAACACAGGUUUAAAACGUCUGUGCUGAAUAAUAUUUCCUGGGGGUGGAAGAGGCUCAGGGAUAUAACGGAGCUGUGUGAAUCAUGCCAAGUGCAGCACACACUGAAGAUAAGGACGCAGUGGGUGUAAGAGCUCUCUCGAUGUUGGCAAACUCGCAGUGGGAAAGUCUGCUAAAUUAAAACCCAUUAAGGACAGGUGACCCUUCUAACUAGCACCUACAAAUGUGACCACCCUGAUGUUCCUGCAGAACACUCAAAAGCUCAUGCUAAAAAAACCUGUUUCAAAACUAAAAGGAAAAGGCAUAUUUCCAACACGGAGGGUGUAGCAGUGGACAACUUAACAGACUUUGCCCUGGCCUCGGAGGCCACAGCUGUUCGCAUUAAAGGAGGCCAGCACCAAGGCCAUACAGACAUUUUCUCCCCAGAGCAGGCUCCUUCCAUGGAAUUCCAGCAGCAGCCAUUACUGCCAGAGCCCACAUCGCCGGCCAAGCCCAGCUCCCAGCAGCAGCCCCCAGAGGAGGGCCACAAUCACAGCGAUGCCACAGAGUCGGCGUACAGCGGGGACGACAUGGAGGCGCCCGCUCACAUGGGGGGGCCUGCUCACAUGGGGGGACCCGCUCACAUGGGGGGGCUGAGGCGGUCCUCGUCUUCGUCUACUCACAGUGGAGAGGAAUCUGACAGGGUGGAGAGGAGGCACUUCAUGAAGGCUUAUGUGGAGAAGGUGUUUCAUGGAAAGGAGGACUUUGACCAGGAAGAGAAGGCUCGUUUUGGAGAGCUGUGCAGUGGAGAGAAUGGCAAAGGCAGGGAGUGGUUUGCCAAAUACGUCAGCGCACAGCGCUGUCAUUCCAAGUGUGUGAGUGAAGCAACCUUCUACAGACUGGUGCAGUCAUUUGCAGUUGUACUGUUUGAAUGUUACCAGAUGGAUGACUACAGCCCAGCCAAAAACCUCAUGACUAUGUGCUUCACGUACUACUACAGUGGGAAGUCCCAGCCGUCUCCCUCCGAGCUGUUGGACCGUGGUAGUCCUCCAGCCGCUGUAGACUCCUACAUCAACAAGGCCAACUCCUGGCUUUCUGUGAAGAAGGAUGCAGCUGAGCGCCUCCUCAAAAGCUCAUCCAAGAAUGAUGUGAAAGGCUUCUUUGGAGGCCUAGAGAACAAGCUGAGAAGCUCAAUGGCUCCUAAGACUGAGGAUGGGGAAAGCCCUGUCGAGACAAAACCCAAAUCACCAGUGUCUGAGGCUCCAGAGGAGAAGAAAGGAGAGAAGGUGUACCUGUACAUCCACCUGAAGCAGCAACCCAUCUGGCAUACACUUAGAUUUUGGAAUGCUGCUUUUUUUGAUGCCGUCGAUUGUGAAAGGAAGAAAAGAUCCCCCACCACGAGGAAGAAGAGAAAGACGAGAGGGAGAAGUGGUGUCACAUGACCCAGGAGGAGAGGGACGACAGCUCCAAGAUGGAUGAGAACAUCGCCUUCGGCCAGCUGGGGACAUUCACUCAUAACAUGCUGGCGUUUGGGCUCAGUAAGAAGCUUUGCAAUGACUUCCUGAAGAAGCAGGCGGUCAUUGGGAGCCUGAAUGAAGAACAGUACAAGUUGCUGAGUGACCACAUAGAGAAAAUGGCGUCAGAGUAAGUUUGAGGAUGCGACUCGAAGUCUCCACAGAACAGAUUAACAACAUGAGAAGUUUAUCUGCAACCCACAGACCAACUCUCCGUUUGACUGUUGAUGCAUCUGAAUAUCAUAUUAACCUACAAUACUGAAGUGUUCCCCAGCAGAACCCUGCUCCUCUGCACCGGCCAUGUAUCAGCAAUAAUACAACAUCAUCAGCUAGUGCAAACUUGAAUACACUUUCAAACUUCCUAAUGUGAUGUAAUUGGAAAAGAACUUGGAGCAUAAAGUGAAACCGUCUGGAAUAAAACCCAAACAGCCUCAGCAUGGUGUCAGAAUCUUGUUCGCAUGAUGUGUGAGCUAUAUAUACUCGAUGCCUUUGUUUCCUGGGAACACACACUAAUUACUUGUUGGUUCUAACAGCAUCUGGUGAGCCAUGGCACUGAGUAUCGUCCUGCCUGGUUACAUUGGACAACAGACAGCUCAAACCAGACUUGGGUAGAAUAGUAAAGUAAUUUCAGUUUAUUACUGAACACUCAUCUGUGCUCUGUGCAACACUGUAGAAUCCUUUAUGUCAAUACAAACAAUAACAUACCGCUUUACCAUAAUAUGUAACAUGUACCACAUAUAACCUUAUCGCUGGCACCACACAAAUUCCCUGUAUGCCUUCUCUUCAUUGGUUUAGUUUGACACCUUGAGAAGCACACUCAGUAAGGCCACACUUAGCUUAGCAUAAAGCCUGGAAGCAGAGAGAAAUGGCUAGACUGGCUUCCUUAAAAAGGAACAACAUUUUCCUACCGGACCCUCCUUGGUAGUAAUACUUAGUUAAGAGAGUGUUAUUAGAAAAGAACAGCAGCAGUCUUCCUACUGACGAGAGGAAUCUAAUACCACUCUCUUUUUACUUUGGCACACAUGUACAUUCUAGUGGAAAUUAUUUUUUAUUUUCCUUAAUUAAUAACUUCAUUAUACCCUUGAAGCCAUUUGAGAACACUUACCUUUCCAAAUUAAUUAAAUGAAAGUAAAUGUCUUUCAUUCAGAUGCUCUGUUAACCAACCAAACACUAAUGUAGAGCCUAUACUGUUCCUCUGUUACACAUUUCCUGCAAGAUAAAAUACAAAUACAAUUCAUCCCUGUGUUUUGAGAUGGUUAUACAGUAAGUAGUUUAUCUUCAUUUGGUUGAGCUUCAAUGCCAGAUGUUGCCUGAACCACCAUACACAUUUUCUCCUGCUGCAUUUAUAUCUUUGCAUGUAUCUAGCAUGUUCAAACGGCAUCAAGCAAGUGUCAAAAGUGCAAAUUAUCUGUGAAUCGACAUUUCCUGUUCAUCCUACCACUGCAGGGUAGCCUCGUGUAAUGGUGAAAGCUGGUUAUCUGCGUUGAAUUCCCGGAUAAUACACUGACAGUUUGAAUCCCAUUUCAGUUGGAUAAUCUGUUUUAAUCUAUUGUGUCGAUAGAGCACAUUUGUAAUUACUGCACAUAUUCUCCAUAGGUUAAACAAUUGAUCAUGUAUUUCUGUUUGUAAAUUGUAUUUUCUUUUAUUGGAAAUAUUUGAUCAAUAGAUGUUAUUGAUCAUUGUGUCCAUGAGGAACAUCUACCUGCAGUUCUGACCCUGUAGUUCCACUCAUACAUCCAAGCCCUGUGUUACGUGCUCUUUUAAAGAUUUGCAUAUAGUGUUGUGCAAUAGUCUCCGAUGUUGAUGUAAUUCAUUCCUUUACAGCUUAGUGACAUGUUUUCACCCAUGUGCAUAAUCAUACAAAUCAUAUAGAAAGCCUUGCAGACCUGUUUUCCCCCUUUAUUGACUCUUUCAAUUCUCUCAGGGGUCCCGUUGCACGUUGUCUAAUAAUAUUGAGCUGUAUGUUGUACUUGUUGGCACAGCAUGAGCCAUUUGCACUACAUGUAUCUUCUGAAUAUAAUGAACUGUUAUAUUGAUGCCUUUUAUAUUUGUUUAGCAUGGCAAGUUCAUGCUCUCUGUAUAUCUGUUAAAUGUUAAUGGUAGUUUGUCUUUUGUAGCAAGGUAAUAACAAAUGUUUUACUGUAUUGCCUUUAUGUCAAUUAUCAACAAGGUGAAAUGUGUAAUUAAACUUACAUGAAGUUGUUAUGGGGUUUCCCUCUUGGUGACCCCCUGUUGUGAUGACAAUGUG